UACAGAGGGUGCGAGCGUUAAUCGGAAUUACUGGGCGUAAAGCGCACGUAGGCGGCUUGGUAUGUCGGGUGUGAAAUCCCCGGGCUCAACCUGGGAACUGCAUCCGAAACUGCCUUGCUUGAGUAUGGGAGAGGGAAGUGGAAUUUCCGGUGUAGCGGUGAAAUGCGCAGAUAUCAGGAGGAACACCGAUGGCGAAGGCAGGUCUCUGGGCCACUACUGACGCUGAGAAGCGAAAGCAUGGGGAGCGAACAGG
rnacentral:rRNA from 1 species